GACGAACGCUGGCGGCGUGCCUAAUACAUGCAAGUAGAACGCUGAAGGGGGAGCUUGCUUCUCUGGAUGAGUUGCGAACGGGUGAGUAACGCGUAGGUAACCUGCCUGGUAGCGGGGGAUAACUAUUGGAAACGAUAGCUAAUACCGCAUAAUAGUAGAUGUUGCAUGACAUUUGCUUAAAAGGUGCAAUUGCAUCACUACCAGAUGGACCUGCGUUGUAUUAGCUAGUUGGUGGGGUAACGGCUCACCAAGGCGACGAUACAUAGCCGACCUGAGAGGGUGAUCGGCCACACUGGGACUGAGACACGGCCCAGACUCCUACGGGAGGCAGCAGUAGGGAAUCUUCGGCAAUGGACGGAAGUCUGACCGAGCAACGCCGCGUGAGUGAAGAAGGGUUUCGGAUCGUAAAGCUCGGUUGUAAGAGAAGAACGAGUGUGAGAGUGGAAAGUUCACACUGUGACGGUAUCUUACCAGAAAGGGACGGCUAACUACGUG
rnacentral:rRNA from 1 species